rnacentral:tRNA from 1 species
CCUCUAAUAGCUCAGUUGGUAGAGCACUCGUCUUGUUACCGAGAGGUCUCCAGUUCGAUUCUGGGUAGAGGC